rnacentral:lncRNA from 1 species
CUGAUUCAUCAGCUCACAGUGAAACGAGCUUGCAUGAGAGCAUCCCAGGACCACUGAACAUUCAGAGGGCUGGAGGCAGAGAAAAACUUCCCCUACUCAAGAAAAAGAAGCUAUUUUUGUCAAGUUAAAUGAGCCUGAACCUGCAGAGCUGAAUUGGCAGAUGAAUAUUGCUAAUUGGUGCAGUUUCUUCGGUGCAGGAAAGAGUUUCCAAUCAGACCGGCAAUUCAUUGGCCACAUGAAGACUAGGAGAGGAAAUUAUCUCCAGGAAAAAUGCCAUGCAUGACCAGGGUUAAUGAUAUGGAACACACCCCACAAAGAUGCUUUGCCUUUGGGUACCAGGACUUCAAAUCCUACACAAUGAAGAUCAAAAAUGAAACCAAGAGAGAAAAGAAACAGUGC